AUUGAACGCUGGCGGCAGGCCUAACACAUGCAAGUCGAGCGGAUGAAGGGAGCUUGCUCCUGGAUUCAGCGGCGGACGGGUGAGUAAUGCCUAGGAAUCUGCCUGGUAGUGGGGGAUAACGUCCGGAAACGGGCGCUAAUACCGCAUACGUCCUGAGGGAGAAAGUGGGGGAUCUUCGGACCUCACGCUAUCAGAUGAGCCUAGGUCGGAUUAGCUAGUUGGUGGGGUAAAGGCCUACCAAGGCGACGAUCCGUAACUGGUCUGAGAGGAUGAUCAGUCACACUGGAACUGAGACACGGUCCAGACUCCUACGGGAGGCAGCAGUGGGGAAUAUUGGACAAUGGGCGAAAGCCUGAUCCAGCCAUGCCGCGUGUGUGAAGAAGGUCUUCGGAUUGUAAAGCACUUUAAGUUGGGAGGAAGGGCACUAAGUUAAUACCUUGCUGUUUUGACGUUACCAACAGAAUAAGCACCGGCUAACUUCGUG
rnacentral:rRNA from 1 species